GACGAACGCUGGCGGCGUGCCUAAUACAUGCAAGUCGAACGCAGUGGGAGCGGGUGAGUAACACGUGGGUAACCGCCCAUCAGAGGGGAUAAAACGUGGCAACAGGUGCUAAUCCGAUGCUGAUGGAUGGACCCGGGGGGCAUUAGCCAGUUGUGGGGGUAACGGCUCACCAAGGCCACGAUGCAUAGCCGACCUGAGAGGGUGAUCAGCCACACUGGGACUGAGACACGGCCCAGACUCCUACGGGAGGCAGCAGUAGGGAAUCUUCGGCAAUGGGCGAAAGCCUGACCGAGCAACGCCGCGUGAGUGAAGAAGGUUUUCGGAUCGUAAAACUCUGUUGUUAGAGAAGCGGUAUCUAACCAGAAAGCCACGGCUAACUACGUGCCAGCAGCCGCGGUAAUUC
rnacentral:rRNA from 1 species